rnacentral:rRNA from 1 species
GACGAACGCUGGCGGCGUGCUUAACACAUGCAAGUCGAACGGUGAAGCGCCUUCCUUUUUGGUGGGUGUGGAUGAGUGGCGAACGGGUGAGUAACACGUGAGUAACCUGCCCCCUUCUUCUGGAUAACCGCAUGAAAGUGUGGCUAAUACGGGAUAUUCUGGGUCUGUCGCAUGAUGGGUCUGGGAAAGAUAUUGUUUCGGUGGGGGAUGGGCUCGCGGCCUAUCAGCUUGUUGGUGGGGUGAUGGCCUACCAAGGCGGUGACGGGUAGCUGGCCUGAGAGGGUGGACGGUCACACUGGGACUGCGACACGGCCGAGACUCCUACGGGAGGCAGCAGUGGGGAAUAUGGCACAGUGGGCGAAAGCCUGAUGCAGCGACGCCGCGUGAGGGAUGGAGGCGUGCGGGUUGUGAACCUCUUUCGGCAGUGAAGCAGGCCUGCCUCGUUUGUGGGUGGGUUGACGGUAGCUGGAUAAGAAGCGCCGGCUAACUACGUG